rnacentral:rRNA from 1 species
GACAGAGGUGCCGAGCGUUAGGCGGAAUCACUGGGCUUAAAGCGUGUGUAGGCGGCCCGUUAAGUGUCUUGUGAAAUCCCCCGGCUCAACCGGGGAACUGCUCGGUAUACUGGUCGUCUUGAGGCACUCAGGGGCGAGCGGAACAGAUGGUGGAGCGGUGAAAUGCGUAGAUAUCAUCUGGAACGCCAAUGGUGAAGACAGCUCGCUGGGGGUGUACUGACACUGAGACACGAAAGCCAGGGGAGCGAACGGG